CAAUAGCGUAUAUUAAAGUUGUUGCAGUUAAAAAGCUCGUAGUUGGAUUUCUGACAUGGUGAGCCUAGCCCGGGAAUCGCUUUUGCGUUCUUGUGAGCUGGUGCGCAUCGGUCAUCCUUCAGGAGAGUAUUUCUGCCCUUGAUUGGGUUGGAGGUGUGAUUCCUGAUCGUUUACUUUGAAAAAAUUAGAGUGUUCAAAGCAGGCAUUUUGCUGUGAAUACAUUAGCAUGGAAUAAUAAGAUAGGACUUCGGUUUUAUUUUGUUGGUUUCUAAAGCCGGAAGUAAUGAUUGAUAGGGAUAGUUGGGGGUGCUAGUAUUCAACGGCCAGAGGUGAAAUUCUUGGAUUCGUUGAAGACUAACUUAUGCGAAAGCAUUCACCAAGGAUGUCUUCUUUAA
rnacentral:rRNA from 1 species